rnacentral:lncRNA from 1 species
CUAACCACAAACCUCGACAACCUACCCCCAACCCUAUACAGUCACCAUCCUCAAAUCCCUACUCCAUCGACACCAUCAUUAUCAAACACACCCACACCUUCCACCAUCACCUCUACCAUCUACACACUAAACUCAAUGGCCUACUCAAUCACAGAAGUGUAUUGGCGCUGCCACUACCACCCACAACCAUCCUCCAUUAAAACCUGCCAAAAAUCGCAGAAACUAAAAAUAAAAUAAAAAAUUGGAUCCAAAUUCUUUUCUCAGAUCCUAAAACUCCAGUAUGUUCAUUUUCGAUCCAAUCGAGAUUUUUAUUUGUAAGAUUUUUAAUUUAGUAAUGGGUUUCCCAACAAAACGAAAUGUUUGAUACUAUAGUUUCUUGACUGAACCAAAUCGAUGGGAAAUCUGGUUUAUCAACUUGAAUAAUCUACGUCAAGUAAGAGAGAACCAAACUCGAGGGAGAAAAUUCUGGCUUUAUAUAUUUAGAACUUUAAAUUCGGAUUUCGCACAUGAAAAACAUCGGAUAAGAGAUAACCAGAUUUUAUGCAAGAACAUCUGGAAGAUUUCUACCCUAUAUUUUAUACCUAAACCUGAGGAGAAAUCCUUCAGUUGUUGGCAGUCCAAGCUUGACAUGGUGCUAGCAAAGCUCAUCAAUUAUUGCAUUCGCCACUAUGAACUCCAUCAAUUUGGUGUGGAUAGGAUGAGUUUGGUGGGGGUGGGAUAAGGAUGGGGAUGAGGGGACAAAUUUUGUGGCGGUUUCCAUAACUUCGACCUUGCUACAUGUACAUCAACUCUUUUAGUCAAUCAUUUCUAUAGCUAAUGGGUUAAAUAAUGUAACAUGUCAUUUAUCAUUUGUCAGUCUAAAAUACAGUAACUCUUUUAUUCAACAUUCUUCCUUCACAUCAUUUCAUGUAAUUCCUUAUGUACCAUUUUUAUGUAUAAGUAAUAUAAUCCUUGAGGGGUUGCUUGGGUUGUGAUUGGGUGCGAUAGGGAAUUUGAAUUUUUUGCCUUUUAGUUAUUUUCUUAAUUAUUUUUUUAAUUAAAUGUGAAAAUCCACUUUCCCUGCACUAAAUUGAUCAAAUUAAGGCUAUACAUUUGACUUUUGGUCAAUGAAAAAUUUUGGAUAGAAACCAUUAGAUGCCUUUUUGACGUACAUUUAUUAAAAAUUUAAUGUAAGUAUUAAGAAAAAAAUGUUUUGGACUUGAGUAUAUAGUUUUUAAAAAAUUAGGACCACCAUUGCAAAUUUUUUUAAAAUUUGAUGCACCCAAAGUAUGAAAUGGUGGCCAAUAUGAUCUUAGGAGCACUGCAAUUUACUUUAUGGUUUCAAUUGUUAUCAAUCAUUGUUGGUUUAGAAAUUAUUUAUUAUUCUCAGCAUUAGGGUCAUGAACUCAGAUUCCAAUCUCCAGUGUGGAAAUUAUCGUGCUAUGAAAGUGUAAUUUAUAGAUUCACAGUUUGAAGAAAACGAAAAACAAAAAAAAUAAUAAAAUAAUAAAAUAAAGGGCACCUUAAAGACUUCUUAAGAGUUUUGGCAUUCUAAAGACUUCAAAAGUCAAAGUCUUUUGGAGUAAAUAUCAUUCUAUGCAGACUAGAUUCAUAUACAUCUAUUGCUUUUUUGUAUAAAUAUAUAGUUAAAUUUCACGUCGAUUUAGGUUCCAAUUGUUAUCAUUCAUUGUUGGACAUUAACUCACAUUGGAAUCUCAAGUUAGGAAGACCUUGACCAAAACUUCCCGAAAAUGUUUAUACGAAUCUUGUAUAGUAUAUAUGUGGAUUGUAAUUUAUGCAUUGUUACAUAAAGAACAUAUAUUGAAACUGAAAAAUGAACUUUUAUUGAUAAUUAUCUAUAUAACUUACAGAACCACAAAUUCAAAAUUGCUCCGAAUUACAAAUUCAAAUUAUUUAAAUAUUGCUAUAUGAAAAUAAAUGUAGAAAAAAAAAAGCGAAAAAAAAUGUAGAAAAAAAAAAGCCUAAGGAAAAAAUAAAUUAGUGAUUCCACGAAUUUGAUUGUUUUUUUCACUCUAACUUUUUCAUAUAAUUUAAUUUUAAUACAGAUUAAAAUGUUGCAAAAAUAUUUUAAAGGGGUUCACCAUCUAUUAAAACUUUUAAUCUUAGCACCUAUAAUCUAAACAUUUUUAUAAAUGUGCACAUUAGAUUUGAAGCACGUUAACAACGGAACCGCGCUUAUUUUAAAUAAGUAGUUUUUUUUUUUAAUCUAAUACAGAAUAUUUGACUAGAAAAGUUGGGUUCAUGAUUUAUACACAAUGAACUUACAAGCCCUAGCAGAGUGUAAUUUCCUCUUCUCAUCACUGACAUUACAGUCACGAGAACUUUAGUUAUGAUUAUUUGAAAUGGUCAUAAAUUCAGAUAAUCAUAGAUAAGAUUCUCAGUCAAAUCAUGUUAGUUUAUCAAAAGUUAGACAUCUUAUCUUAAUAUUAUCAAUUUAAUGCAAGAUCAAUAGGUCCUUUUACAUUUAAUUAAUUAAAACAAUUUCAAAACAAAAUAUAAAUAAUAAGGGGAAAAAAUAAAAAAAUAAAAAUCAUCUUUUUAAUUCCCCCUAACCACAAACCUCGACAACCUAUUCCAACCAUAUACAUUUAUCAUCCUCAGAUCCCUACUCCGUCAACACCAUCAUUAUCAAACACACCCACGCCUUCCACCAUCUACACACUAAACUUAAUGGCCUACUCAAUCACAAAAGUGUAUUGGCGCUGCCACUGCCGCCCCCACAACCAUUGACCUUUAAAAACCUGCCAAGAAUCGCUGAAACU